GUAUAGAGUACUAAAGUACACUAGGUCAUUCGAACACACAGCGGAAGCAUAACCAGAUUAGAUUUAAAUGUUAAAUGUGUUUUGUUUUUUUUUUUCCACAAAACAUGACGCUUUUUGCAAUCGCUUGCGUCAUUCCGAUCUGAAUUAUUCAAUGCAGCAGUACUACAUCAUACAUUACCAUAAAAUUGACCAAGAAAUUGUGGAUUAUGAUAACUAUUCCAACGGGAUUCGAAGGAGACUCUAUUAAUUUGAAUUUUGUUGUUUGAAUAUUGUUAAUGCUUUUGUUUCUCGGAUUAGGUUUUAUAGUUUGUCCCGGCACCCGUGUAGAGGUCAUGAGAAUGAUACCGGCAGAUAUUUGUGUUAAGGUUUGAAGUACUUUAAUUAUCAUCGACCCGUAUCUUUAGUGCUUGAAGUAAAGCUCUCAUAGUACGGCACAUUUACAAGUCCUCUGUAUUCACAUCGAAUACUUUAUUGCCAGUAGUAUCAGGUCGUCUUUUCCUCUACUUCUUCUCAAUACCGUCCAUCAUCUCGUCUUUCUUAUCCUUUCCAUGGAGCAAAAAUCAUGGACCUUGUAUCUUAACACGGUCCGCACACCACCACCCUGCCAUGAAGCAGUAAUUCGUUUUGAAGGGUGGGGCAGCCGUUAACUAUACUGAGACCUUAGGACUUAUAUCUCAAAGUGGGUGGCGCAUUUACGUUGUAGAUGUCUAUGGGCUCCAGUAACCACUUAACACCAGGUGGGCUGUGAGCUCGUCCCCCAUCUAAACAAUAAAAUAAAAAAAUAACACUUUAUCUACAUAAAGUUAAACAAGCAUUUUUGUGCUUAAUGAAGGUAUUGACAAAUAAUAAAAUAAUGAGGUUUUUAUUACGUUAUUACGUUGUUUGAUUUAUAAGAUUUUAAAAGAUUUAGUUACACCACACAAACGACUAGUAACGACGUUGAGAGAAAAAUCUGUAUUGAUCGCGUGUCUGUGUGGCCUAAGUUGAAAAAUUAGCAUAGGAAGAUGCCUUUGUAAGGUAAAUACCUAAUAAAUAAUGUAUUAGUUUCCUGAAAAUUUCUACGGGUCGCCACGCCUCGUAGGGAGCGAGACCCGGCUGUCGUCAGGACAACGCCUAAUUAUAACGACCCCUUGAGAGAUCGAAACGAAAUAACAGGUUUUGUGGGUGGUAUGAUAUUAAGGGGAACAUUGUGAGUUCGGUAUGAAGUUAGAAGUAAUAUCACGGAAUUAUGCUCAAGUAAUUAUUGUUCAAGAGAUCGCGGGAUGUCGACCGAAUCUCUGCUUUUUAGUCUAAAUAGGUUUAUGUGUAGGUCAAGAGGUAGGUAUUAGAGGGAGCUUUGAUCAAUUUCAUUGACAUUGACAAAUGUUCUAACAGGACCACCUUCAAAAAGUCGAAUAUGUAAAAGUAGAAAUCAAUCAAUCAAUUAGUCCUUUAACCUGAAAUUUUAUUUAUGACUAGCUGACCUGGCCGACUUCGUAGUUCGUAGUGCCUCAAUCGAUAAAUAAAAGAUCGAAACUUUUGUAUAAAAUAAAAUUAAAACAAACAAAAGGAAAGGAAGGAAUAAAGACACAUCAAAAGGAAAACAAAACUGUAAAAAAAUUCUUAUUUAAUUCCGAGAAUUUUCAUAUUUAUUUACCUUUUAAACCUUCUCUGGAUUUCCACAAAUAAUUCGAAUCGGUCCAGCCGUUCCAUGUCUAUCUUUAGCAACCCGCCUGCCUGCCUUUAAACCUCUUUGGGUUAUGUCUUCACUAGCAUAUCCAUUGCAACAUGCCAUUCUUUUGAUAUUUCUUUUACUUCAUUCGUUUUUGUUCCCUUGACUUACAUUUUAUUAUUCAAUAUACAUUUACACUAUAAUUUAGAUUUUCAAAUACCGAAAGAUAUUCGUUUUACAAGGGCGGGAUGAUAAGUAACUAGCCUAACAAUAAAACACUUAACUUGUCGUGAUAAAAUUAAUUUUAUUUUUCGACAGUCUCCGUGAACCUCUACACACUUAUUCCAUCUUCGUUCUAAAGCAGUAAUGCCUUCCAUAAAAUGAUUUCUUUCGAAGCCUGCAAAAUACUCCUCUACAGCGGCUAUGACUUCAUCAUUUGUGGUAAAUUUCUGUCCGCCCAAAAAAGUUUUGAGCUUAGGGAAUAAGUGGAAGUCCGAUGGCGCUAUAUCAGGCGAAUAAGGUAGGUGGGACAGCAAAUCAUACUUCAAUUCGUUGAUUUUUGCCAUAGCUUUAACACAUGUGUGAACCCUAGCGUUGUCUUGGCGGAAGAUGAUUUUUGUUUCGCCAAAUCUGGUCGUUCUUGCUGAAUACACUGGUGAAAAUUAUCUAGAAGAUUAGCGUAGUAUUCUCCAUUAAUCGUUUGACCUUUAGGAAGGUAAUCUAUCAUCAAGAUCCCAUCUGCAUCCCAAAAGACGGAAGCCAUCACUUUUCCAGCCGACUUUACAGCCAUGGCUUUUUUGGAGCCGGGCAUCGCGAUUGCGUCCACUGGUUUGAUUGAAUUUUUGAUUCUGGCAUAUAAUAACGAACCCAUGUUUCAUCUGUUGUUACAAAUCGACGUAAAAAAUCGGCAUUAUUACUCUGAAACGGUCCAGACAUUCUUUGACUUUUGCACCCGAAUAUUCUUUUGAUCGUGCAUAAGCAAUCGCGGCACCCAACGGGCCGAUGACUUUUUCAUAUUUAAUUCCUCACUUAGGAUAUGAUGUACCCGGUCUUUUGAGAUACCUGUAGUAUCAGCUGUAUCAGAUGACUUCAAUCGUCGAUCUGUUAUAACCAUAUCAUGUACUCUCACGACAAUUUCCGGAGUCGUGACGCUUUUUGGACGUCCGGGGCGGGCUUCAUCUUGGACACAUGUACGACCGCGUUUAAGCUCAGCCACCCAGUUUUUUACUAUGGCAUAAGAAGGAGCACAUUCAUCCUAAGCAUUAUUUAACUCGUCAUAGAUAUCUUUCCCCUUCAUAUCCUUCAUAUGAAGAAACUUUAUCACCGCUCUUUGUUCAAUUUUAUCCAUUUUGAAAACACUUGACGAAAUAUAUUUUCAAAUGACAAAAAAUCAAUAAAAUUUUCACGUCACCAAAUUCAAAUUUAGAACACAGGUAGCCAGAGAUACGAAGUUAAAAAUGACAUAUAUAUUUUUUAAAGUUUAACUUUUUAAAUAGUAGAGGCUAGUUACUUAUCAUCCCGCCCUCGUACAAUGUCUUCAUCAGAAUACACAGUGGUGUGAUCGCUCUCUGGCUUCAGAUAAAUACCGAGAUAGGUCAUAUGCGCGGCACUUUGGCAUAGAUUGCCAAUGCCGAGCCUGGAUGAUAGGAAGGCAUCAGUGUGGGUUAAGUCUAAGUCCGUUAAAAUAGUACUAUAGCAAGUCAUCUUUAACAUCUAGGAUUUUAAUCUACAAAAAAACGUUAGUCCAAACUCUUGUCAGAGCAGUGAAAGGGUCGUGCUUCGUUUUCAAUUAACUGUAACGGGUGUGACGUCAGCUGCCAUGCUAGGGCAUGGAUGCUUAGCGGGAUGGCUGGCGGUAGGCCGCCAGCCAUCCCGCUAAGCUAUGUUAACACGCCCCCUUCUGCCACUGCCACUAGCCAAAGCCAACGAAGGGUAGGAUAGUGUUUAUAAAACAAGCCUUGCGAGCCAUUUCUACCCGGCUCCGGUCACCGUUCUCGUCGAACCCGUCGUUUGCGAUGAAGGGCUCGACGACCGAAUUAACCCAUAGACACAGCCCACUGAGUUUCUCGCCGGAUCUUCUCAGUGGGUCGUGUUUCCGAUCCGGUGGUAGAUUCUGCGAAGCACUGCCCUUGCUAGGGGGAGUGUUGCUAACACUGACCCUAGCAAGAGCAGUGCUUUGCAGGGUGAAGCUGAAAUAGCCUCAUAAGGCUAUCAGCAUAGGCAGGAAAAAAAAAUUUUUUCUACCCGCUUUCUGCUUUCUCGCACAAAUAAAAGAACUUGUCGUUAUGCUGCUGGUUUUUUUUUGUCGCAUCAUUUGCAACAUAAAGGAAACCAAAAUGAAUUUGUUUAGCACAGAAAAUAUUAUUGUGUCAAUAAUAUCUUACGUAUCAAGGUACUUGUUUAAAAGAAGUACUUUGUGGUAUAAUCGGUACUCUAGUUGAGAUAAGCGACGCGCCGCUGUGGCACCGGCGGUGAUACUCAUUAUCCCGCGACUAAAAACUCGUUGCCAGACAAUCUUUGUGCUUUCCUGUUUCGAUAAUAGGAUAAUACAGUGCAACCCUAACGAACCUCAAUAUAACGACGUCCUCGAUUUAACAAUUUCUUCGUUAUACCCUCGAAUUGUCCAUAAGACUCAAUUUAAGUGUCAUUACUGGUGGUAGGACCUCUUGUGAGUCCGCACGGGUAGGUACCACUACCCUGCCAUUUUUUUGCGGUGAAGCAGUAAUGCGUUUCGGCUUGCAGGGUGGGGCAGCCGUUGUAACUAUACUUGAGACCUUAGAACUUAUCUCAAGGUGGGUGGCGCAUUUACGUCGUAGAUGUCUAUGGGCUCCAGUAACACUUAACACCAGGUGGGCUGUGAGCUCGUCCACCCAUCUAAGCAGUAAAAAAUAAAUUAAUUAAUGUAUACUUUUACAUUGCGAAGAUUUCUUGCGAACAAGAUCUUUAUAACGAAUUUUCAACUAUCAGAAAAAAAAGUGUAAAUACCUCUAGUUAACGAAUUUUGUCAACCCAAAACCUUUUUAUAUCGUUCCUACCAAUAUGACCCUUAAUCCCAUAGUAUGUGAAUCAGUUUCGACAGGUUUGAGAAAAACUGUGUUAUCUACCUAAUUGUUUUUAAAUAGAAAACACCUACAGUAAGUAAUUUGAUAAAAAUGUGUAUACAUUUAUUUAGUUGUUCAUUAUAACAAGAUGAGUACGUAAUGUUGAGGUGAAUAAAACUAUUUUUUAUUUUUUUACGUCAUUUAUAAUGUAGGCAAAUGGUAGGCCAACCUUUUUUUUUUUUUUUCCGGGCCGGCGGCCGAUCCUCCUACGAGGUCCCCGCGCCUAGGGGGCGCGCGGGGUAUGUGAGACUCAACGAUCUGCAGGUGUUGAGAGUAGAUCGCGGGCCCAAGGAUUUUAGGGCCCACCCACUAAACGACUCCCCUGCACUCUUACACCCGACGUCCGAUCUCCGUCCGGGGUCAGAACCCGUUCAGAGUAGGGGGGUUCCCGCGGUCAACACUACAACCAGACACGCGGCGCCACCCCGAGGACGCCCGACCGACGGGUGGCGACUAUCGCGUCGACGACCAACGACGUCAGUCUCCGCGGUAUGGUAGGCCAACCUAACUUUACUAUAACAAAAUUCAGUUUACCGAUUUUUUUAUUUUUUUUAUUGCUUAGGUAUGUGGACGAGCUCACAGCCCACCUGGUGUUAAGUGGUUACUGGAGCCCAUAGACAUCUACAACGUAAAUGCGCCACACACCUUGAGAUAUAGUUCUAAGGUCUCAGUAUUGUCACAACGGCUGCCCCACCCUUCAAACCGAAACGCAUUACUGCUUCACGGCAGAAAUAGGCGGGGCGGUGGUACCUACCCGUGCGGACUCACAAGAGGUCCUACCACCAGUAAAAAUUACUUGAUAUACUAACGAAUGUGUACUUAUUCCCUUCCGAUUUGUCAUAUCGAGGUUGCACUGUAGUUGUCCAAUGUUUGGCUUGUUGUCUGAACGAACACCACCCAAUCUCUUCCUGAGUGUGGUAAAGGCGACUAAGCGAUUCCCCGGAAAAUGAGCAGUAUCGUUCUUUGAGUAUUAUACCAUCGUAAACAAGCAGCAUGCAUUGGUGUUAAGGCAUAUUGUACUUACGUCCGGUUUUGAAGGGUGAGAUGGUCGUCUCCCAAUUAAGAAUUCGGCCUAUGUUUCUAAGUGGGAUGAGGCAUUUAGGUUAUGAUGUUAAUUUAUGUAUUUGGGCUCCUAAACUAACUAGAACCAACCAUUUAAUGGAUGCACGUGGGUGUUAAGUGACUUAGGUAUAAAGCUUAUAAAAGUGUUGUGAUUAAUGUGUAAAGUUGGUCAAUCAUCGAUAAGGGUGAGUGCAAUGUUAGCAAAGUCCCAGACUGACUCCAUUAAGCUCGCCUACACUUCCAGUGCAGUUAACACAAUAGGUACAGCACACGAGGUUACUCUAUAUAGCAAUAGGUAGGAAAAAAGUAGGUCCAAACCUACGAAUAAAUAAUAAGUCAUUUAUUCGUAGUUCCCACCGUUUAUUAGUCCAUUGUGUGUUUAGAUAUUUUUCAAUGCAGGCAAUACCGCUAGAUAUAGCUAGUGUUGUUAAAAAAGGGUAGCGCAUUUACAUACUUUUGUAAUGUGAAGUAAUUAAAAUGGAUAUAUGAGUCGUCUAUUAUCAAAGGUGGCAAUCUGUGCAUUUGGACAAAAAAAUGUUAUUGAUAUGUCAAUACAGAUUGAUUUGAAUAUAAUCGUCUCCUUCAAAGAAUACGGUUCAAAACCUGCAUUAAAUAAAGUAUUAACUUAACCUGUUAUUUAUCUAAGAUGUCGUUCAGAAGAGUUUUGUGACUGCCAAUGGAAUACAAAGUCAAUAAUUCGUUUUUCUGAUUUCCCAAUAAUUGUCCAAAAGUCACAUUGCCGGCUUUGAUAAUAGUCGACUCAUAUGUAUAAUAUUCAUAAACAAUUCCACAGUGCCAACGUUAAGACCUAAAUGUUGAUUAAUAUUUAAGUAAAACCAAUAUAUAAUGUGCCAAACAAACAAAUAUUUAUUAUCAAUUUUGUAAUGAUGUUUUUAUUGAUUUAAUUAAACGAGUAUCAUCAACUAUGGAAACGGCUAUAUUUAGAAAUUGGUGUAUUAUUUUUAAGUGAGUCUCAAAUCUCAUAUGAAUUUGCUUAUUAAUUGUGUCCGGGCUGAACCCGGCUCCUACCUAAAUGCCUCUACCACCCAAUGUGAAUCGUGACCCGCUCCGAAGAUUGGGUCUCAAAGACUCAGCUGACUGAUGCCUGGCAUCACGGCAUUCACAGUUACAUCGAUACAGUGAUCUGGUAUAUGAGAAGUAUUAGCGGACUCCAAAUUAUCAUGGCGUUUAGAGCAAGCCGUACUCUCUAAAACUGAUCAUAAAUCAUAAUCCAGCGGAUUGAUGAAGCUCAAAUGAAGUCCGAAACGUUCGUUUUCAACCAAGACUGCGCAGACCGAGCUUUAUGACCUGGCGCCGAGUCUUGCAGGAAGGACCAUUCUUGAUUAUUGAACAUGGUGUUGUUAAGGGGCUUCACUACCUUCUCAAGAAUGGUAUCUUGAUACACUUGUGGAAUUCGACGAUAGAUGGCGUUGCUCUUACCGGCGUAGCAUUACUUUUGACAAUUUUUGUGAGAAGUAUUUAUUGUAACAUGUUGGUCUUCGGCUAUUUUAUAAUUAGUUGCCAGAAUGCAGACAUCGUGUAUAGAUAAUAAUACUCGUAGGAUCUGUUUUAUACCUUUAUACAUUUACUAACCGUACUCGCCCGCUUCGCUGGGCAUUUAAAAUUAAUAUUAUUAUUUGUUGUCAUUAUUAUUAGGUAGUCCAAUACUCAUAUGAAUAUUAGCCUAUCCAUUAAGUACAUGUAUUUUCUACACGGAUACCUAGUUUCAAGUCAAUCGGAUGCAUGGUUUAGUAGUUUUAACGGAACAUCCGUAAAAACCACUGUAGAUUUAUAUAUUAGUCUAGAUGUAACGAUAAUAAUAAAUUAAGUUUUAGAGCGGUAUGAAUAUUGCAUUUUGAGAGCUUCGAAGUACAUUUAAUGUGUAAUAGUUUUGUUUUGUAAUUUAUAUUAUACUUACUGUAAAUAUGUUAUAUGAAAAAUUAUUUUUUGUUAUUGUAAUAUUAAAUUUUGUAAUUGUG